rnacentral:rRNA from 1 species
GACGAACGCUGGCGGCGUGCUUAACACAUGCCAGUCGAACGGAAAGGCCCCUAUGGGGGUACUCGAGUGGCGGACGGGCGCGUAACACGAGAGUAACCUGCCCUUGGCUUCGGGACAACUCCAGGAAACUGGGACUAAUACCGGAACGGGAUACUAGUUUCAUGUCGGGGGUUGGAAAGCUACGGAGGGUUUGGAUGGACUCGCGACUUAUCAGCUUGUUGGUGGAGUAGUGGGUUACCAAAGCGGUGACGGGUAGCCGGCCUGAGUGAGCGACCGGCCAAAUUGAGACGGAGAAAAGGCACCGACACCUACGGGAGGCAGAAGGGGGGAAUAAUGAACAAUGGGCGCAAGCAUGGUGCAGCAACGCCUCGUGUGGUAUAACGGUGUUCGGAUUGUAAACCGCUUUAGACAGGGGCCAUGCUUGUCGUGACGGUACCUACAAAAGAAGCACCGGCUAACUACGUG